GCAUCACACACACUCACACACACACACACACACACAGUUUCACAGUACACUGCUUUAUAGUAUUACAGAAACCAUACCUAUAUUUUGAUGUGACUACUCUCUCUCUCUUUCUCUGAGAGGUAGAAGGAGGUAGUGAGUAAAAGUAUGAUAGAGCGAAGUAGUGUGAGAUAUAGUGAGGCAAAGUAGGGUAAAAUAAGGUAGUGGGAGGUAGAGCAAAGUACAGUAAGAUAGUGUAAAAUGAUCAUUGUAUUUAGUAUGCAUUGUAGCAAAUAUGUGGUAUAAGGUGUACGUAUUAAUUAUUACAUUAAGCACAUUGUACUUAGUAAGUAACACCAUUAGAAUGUAUGUUAAUAGGUAUGUCAUUUGAAAUUAAUAUGUAAGGUAAGGUAAGGUAGAGUGAGGUAGAGUAAGAAAAAAUAAGGUAGAGGAGGGUAGAGGAAAAGUUAGGUAGAGUAAAGAAGAGGAAGGUAGAGGGAGUAGAGUGAGUUAGAGCGAGAUAGAGAGAGUUAGAGUAAGUAAGCGUGUGAUAGAGCAAGGUAGAAGGAUGUAGAGUGAGGCAGACUAUUGUAAAGUGAGGUAGAGUAUAGUAGAGCAAGGUAAAGUAAGGUAGAGUAUAGUAGAGUGAGGUAAAGUAAGGUAGAGUAUAGCAGAGUAAGGUAAAGUGAAGUAGAGUAUAGUAGAGUAAGGUAAAGUGAGGUAGAGUGUAGUAGAGUAAGGUAAAGUGAGGUAGAGUGUAGUAGAGUAAGGUAAAGUGAGGUAGAGUGUAGUAGAGUAAGGUAAAGUAAGGUAGAGUAUAGUAGAGCAAGGUAAAGUAAGGUAGAGUAUAGUAGAGUGAGGUAGAGUAUAGUAGAGUAAGGUAAAGUAAGGUAGAGUAUAGUAGAGCAAGGUAAAGUAAGGUAGAGUAUAGUAGAGUGAGGUAAAGUAAGGUAGAGUAUAGCAGAGUAAGGUAAAGUGAAGUAGAGUAUAGUAGAGUAAGGUAAAGUAAGGUAGAGUAUAGUAGAGGGAGGUAAAGUAAGGUAGAGUAUAGUAGAGUAAGGUAAAGUGAAGUAGAGUAAGGUAAAGUAAGGUAGAGUAUAGUAGAGGGAGGUAAAGUAGGGUAGAGUAUAGUAGAAUGUGGUAUAGUAAGGUAGAGUAUAGUAGAGCAAGGUAAAGUGAAGUAGAGUAUAGUAGAGUAAGGUAAAGUAAGGUAGAGUAUAGUAGAGGGAGGUAAAGUAAGGUAGAGUAUAGUAGAGUAAGGCAUAGUGAGGUGGAGUAUAGUAGAUUAAGGUAAAGUGAAGUAGAAUAUAGUAGAGUAGGGUAAAGUGAGGUAGAGUAUAGUAGAGUAGGGUAAAGUGAGGUAGAGUAUAGUAGAGCAAGGUAAAGUGAAGUAGAGUAUAGUAGAGUAAGGUAAAGUAAGGUAGAGUAUAGUAGAGGGAGGUAAAGUAAGGUAGAGUAUAGUAGAGGGAGGUAAAGUGAAGUAGAGUAUAGUAGAGUAAGGUAAAGUAAGGUAGAGUAUAGUAGAGGGAGGUAAAGUAAGGUAGAGUAUAGUAGAGGGAGGUAAAGUAAGGUAGAGUAUAGUAGAGUAAGGCAUAGUGAGGUGGAGUAUAGUAGAUUAAGGUAAAGUGAAGUAGAGUAUAGUAGAGGGAGGUAAAGUGAGGUAGAGUAUAGUAGAGUAAGGCAUAGUGAGGUGGAGUAUAGUAGAUUAAGGUAAAGUGAAGUAGAGUAUAGUAGAGGGAGGUAAAGUGAGGUAGAGUAUAGUAGAGUAAGGUAAAGUAAGGUAGAGUAUAGUAGAGUAAGGUAAAGUAAGGAAGAGUAUAGUAGAGUUUGGUAAAGU